rnacentral:rRNA from 1 species
GCUACCAUGCAGUCGAGGGGCAGCACGAGGUAGCAAUACUUUGGUGGCGACCGGCAGACGGGUGAGUAACGCGUAUGUAACCUACCCCAUACAGAGGGAUAACCCGGAGAAAUUCGGACUAAGACCUCAUAAUACCAUGAGAGGGCAUCUGAUUAUGGUUAAAGUUCCGGCGGUAUGGGCUGGGCAUGCGUAACAUUAGCUAGUUGGUAGGGUAACGGCCUACCAAGGCUUCGAUGUUUAGGGGUCCUGAGAGGGUGGUCCCCCACACUGGUACUGAGACACGGACCAGACUCCUACGGGAGGCAGCAGUGAGGAAUAUUGGUCAAUGGGCGCAAGCCUGAACCAGCCAUCCGCGUGCAGGAAGACGGCCCUAUGGGUUGUAAACUGCUUUUCCAGGAGACGAAAAGUGCCGACGUGUCGGCAUGUGACUGUACCUUGGGAAUAAGCAUCGGCUAACUCCGUGCCAGCAGCCGCGGUAAUACGGAGGAUGCAAGCGUUAUCCGGAUUCAUUGGGUUUAAAGGGUGCGUAGGCGGAUUGAUAAGUCAGUGGUGAAAUCCUACAGCUUAACUGUAGAACUGCCAUUGAUACUGUCAUGUCUUGAGUUUGGUUAAGGUAGGCGGAAUGUGUAAUGUAGCGGUGAAAUGCUUAGAUAUUACACAGAACACCAAUUGCGUAGGCAGCUUACUGGACCGACACUGACGCUGAGGCACGAAAGCGUGGGGAUCGAACAGGAUUAGAUACCCUGGUAGUCCACGCCGUAAACGAUGAUUACUCGCUGUUGGCGAUACACAGUCAGCGGCU